CUUCAAUAGCACACUUUUCUUUUUAUUAGAUAAAAUAGCACACAUUUAAUUGGUAGCUGUACAAAAUAGCACAAAUCUACCUUUUUGUUACUUCUCCACGUACGGGCCCAUAUGACAUAUUGUUUAGGACAAAAUUACCCAUCCAUCGUUUCACCUGGCUCCUGAUCGAUUGAAACGAUCAAAACCACAGGAGGCGGACAGACAAACGAACCAGUGCGCCGCCGCCUCGCCCUGCCUCCUACCCGGAGCGCCUUCAUCUCACCGUGCCUCUUUCCCGUUGCAGCGCCGCCUCGCCGUGCCUCCUACCCGGAGCGCUGUCGUCUCACCGUGCCUCUUUCCCGUCGCACCGCCGCCUCGCCGUGCCUCUUGUGCACGUGUUGCCGGUUCUCCCGCCGCCGCCUCGUCCAAUUUUUUCUCAUCUCCCGACGCUCCACAUCUUGCUGAGAUGAUUAUAACUGUCGAAAUUUUGAUCAUUUUCCAUAUCAACAGAACUGUACAUCAAUACAUGUUACAUCCAUAAAAUCUGUAUUUUGAUUACAGCAAGAGGCAUUCGCAUCCUCAGAAAAAAUGAAGCGUUCAUAUUCUCUCGUGACUGCAGAAGCAGAUACAUGCAUACAUAUCAAAGCUUGUAGUGUGCCUAUGUGUGGCACUAGUAUUUUGAGCCAUAUGCUAUCUUCUUCAGUGAGCAUCUACUGUUAGAGAUAGCAAUUAGAGCAGCUAGCAGUUACAGCAGGUUCCGGCCAGCACGUACAAGCUAGCAGCGACACACAUGCUCCACUUAGGCCUCCAACGCGGCCAGCAAGCAACCUGGACAGGACCCGCUAGACUGGCAAGGUGGUGGCCGACGAAGACGCCUCCUCUACAGGAACGGGCAGCGCGUGGGGGAGGAGGCAUGGCGUGGUGGUGCCGCAGUGGAGAAGACACGGCGACCUGACCGUGCUUCGUCAAGGAACCAUGGCAAGGUAACGGCAGCGGUGCAAGAACUGGCAGCACGUGGGGAGGAGGCAGGGCGAGUUGGCAGCGCGCUGGGGAGAAGGCGCGGCAAGGUGAUGGCGCUCCGGGCAGGAAGCACGGUGAGGCGGCUACGCACUGGUGGGCAAUUUCGUCCUAUAAAAUAUGUCAUAUGGGCCCGUACGUGUAGAAGUAAGAAAAAGAUAGAUUUGUGCUAUUUUGUACAGCUAUCAAUCAAAGAUGUGCUAUUUUAUCUAAUAAAAAGAAAAGGGUGCUAUUGAAGCAAAGUUCCAAAAAAGAUGUGCUAUUUUAUCAGAUUGCUCGUCUAUCUAAAACCACUUUUUUGGCAGGCAAACAAUUCACCAAGUAAAGCGCCUUGCCUAUCGAUAUCAGAAGGAGAUAAUUAAGGAGGUGGAGGAGGAACGACUGGACCUGCAGCAUGCGGGCCAUGCGCAUCGUGUAUGUCUCGCCAAGUUGCCUGCCUCGCGCCGAUUACCGCGGCUCCUUCCUUCUCCUCCCCGUCCUCCAAUCUAAAGGAAACGUACAGAAGCUGCUGGACACCGGGAGAAAGAAAGAAGAGGCGGGGGACUGCGCGCGGCGACGCG
rnacentral:lncRNA from 1 species